rnacentral:rRNA from 1 species
GACGAACACUGGCGGCGUGCUUAACACAUGCAAGUCGAACGAAGUGGCGAACGGGUGAGUAACGCGUAAUCAACCUGCCCUUCAGACGGGGACAACAGUUGGAAACGACUGCUAAUACCGCAUACUGAAGGAGGGGAUUGCGUCUGAGUAGUCAGUUGGAGGGGUAACGGCCCACCAAGGCGAGUCUCAGUAGCCGGUCUGAGAGGAUGAACCGGCACAUUUGGACCGGAGCAAGGCCCAGAAUCCGUCGGGAGGUAGCAUGGGGGAAUCGUCCGCAAUUGACGAAAGUCUGAAGGAGCAACGCCGCGUGAGUGAUGACGGCCUUCGGGUUGUAAAGCUCUGUUAAUCGGGACGCGGUACCGGAAUAGAAAGCCACGGCUAACUACGUGCCAGCAGCCGCGGUAAUUC